UGGGGAACAACCAACUAAAAUGAGUUAACUCGGGUCAAACUACAUUAAAUACUAAAUAUGUAGUGGAAAAAAGUUGGAAACCUGUGUCCAAACCCUAUUCUCAGAAGACUGUCUCCAGAGGUAUACUUGGACAGUAUAAAAAAACUAGAGGCUCUCAAGAGCCUGUGUCGCUCACCUGUUACUGUAGUUACUGAUGUCGGCCAUCUUGGUUGGUAGGCGGGGUCAUUAGACACUUUUUUUAAAUAGAUACCCUAGUAAUGAUUGUGGCCAAGUUUGGUUUAAUUUGGCCCAGUUUUAGAAAAGAAGAUUUUUGUAAAAGUUACAAAAAUGACGAAAAGUUGUUAAAAAUUGACUUUAAAGGGCAAUAACUCCUUUAGGGGUCCUCUGACAAUUUUGGUCAUGUUGACUUAUUU
rnacentral:lncRNA from 1 species